GACGAACCGUGCGAACGUUGUUCGGAAUCACUGGGCUUAAAGGGCGCGUAGGCGGGCACCCAAGUCGGGGGUGAAAUCUUUCGGCUCAACCGGGGAAGGGCCCCCGAUACUGGAUGCCUCGAGGGGGGUAGGGGCGUGCGGAACUUCCGGUGGAGCGGUGAAAUGCGUAGAGAUCGGAAAGAACACCAACGGCGAAAGCACUCUGCUGGGCCGACACUGACACUGAGAGACGAAAGCUAGGGGAGCGAAUGGG
rnacentral:rRNA from 1 species